CCGCAUGGGGAUAUUUGCUAAAGAUUCAUCGCUGAUAGAUAGGCAUGCGUUCCAUUAGGCAGUUGGCGGGGCAACGGCCCACCAAACCGACGAUGGAUAGGGGUUCUGAGAGGAAGGUCCCCCACAUUGGUACUGAGACACGGACCAAACUCCUACGGGAGGCAGCAGUGAGGAAUAUUGGUCAAUGGGCGUAAGCCUGAACCAGCCAAGUCGCAUGAGGGAUGAAGGUUCUAUGGAUCGUAAACCUCUUUUAUAAGGGAAUAAAGUGUGGGACGUGUCCUGUUUUGUAUGUACCUUAUGAAUAAGGAUCGGCUAACUCCGUGCCAGCAGCCGCGGUAAUACGGAGGAUCCGAGCGUUAUCCGGAUUUAUUGGGUUUAAAGGGUGCGUAGGCGGCCUUUUAAGUCAGCGGUGAAAGUCUGUGGCUCAACCAUAGAAUUGCCGUUGAAACUGGGAGGCUUGAGUAUGUUUGAGGCAGGCGGAAUGCGUGGUGUAGCGGUGAAAUGCUUAGAUAUCACGCAGAACCCCGAUUGCGAAGGCAGCCUGCCAAGCCAUGACUGACGCUGAUGCACGAAAGCGUGGGGAUCAAACAGGAUUAGAUACCCUGGUAGUCCACGCAGUAAACGAUGAUCACUAGCUGUUUGCGAUACAGUGUAAGCG
rnacentral:rRNA from 1 species